rnacentral:rRNA from 1 species
CCUACGGGAGGCAGCAGUGAGGAAUAUUGGACAAUGGGCGCAAGCCUGAUCCAGCCAUGCCGCGUGCAGGAAGACGGUCCUAUGGAUUGUAAACUGCUUUUAUACAGGAAGAAAUACUUUCUCGUGAGAGAGCUUGACGGUACUGUAAGAAUAAGGAUCGGCUAACUCCGUGCCAGCAGCCGCGGUAAUACGGAGGAUCCAAGCGUUAUCCGGAAUCAUUGGGUUUAAAGGGUCCGUAGGCGGUUUAAUAAGUCAGUGGUGAAAUCUGGUCGCUCAACGAUCAAACGGCCAUUGAUACUGUUAGACUUGAAUUAUUGUGAAGUAACUAGAAUAUGUAGUGUAGCGGUGAAAUGCUUAGAUAUUACAUGGAAUACCAAUUGCGAAGGCAGGUUACUAACAAUGGAUUGACGCUGAUGGACGAAAGCGUGGGGAGCGAACAGGAUUAGAUACCCUGGUAGUCCACGCCGUAAACGAUGGAUACUAGCUGUUGGGCGCAAGUUCAGUGGCUAAGCGAAAGUGAUAAGUAUCCCACCUGGGGAGUACGUUCGCAAGAUGAAACUCAAAUGAAUUGAGG